rnacentral:rRNA from 1 species
CCUACGGGCUGCACCAGUGGGGAAUAUUGCACAAUGGGCGCAGGCCUGAUGCAGCCAUGCCGCGUGUAUGAAGAAGGCCUUAGGGUUGUAAAGUACUUUCAGUUGGGAGGAAGGCGUUGAUGCUAAUAUCAUCAACGAUUGACGUUACCAACAGAAGAAGCACCGGCUAACUCCGAGCCAGCAGCCGCGGUAAUACGGAGGGUGCAAGCGUUAAUCGGAAUUACUGGGCGUAAAGCGCACGCAGGCGGUCGAUUAAGUUAGAUGUGAAAUCCCCGGGCUUAACCUGGGAAUGGCAUCUAAGACUGGUCAGUUAGAGUCUUGUAGAGGGGGGUAGAAUUCCAUGUGUAGCGGUGAAAUGCGUAGAGAUGUGGAGGAAUACCGGUGGCGAAGGCGGCCCCCUGGACAAAGACUGACGCUCAGGCGCGAAAGCGUGGGGAGCAGACAGGAUUAGAUACCCUUGUAGUC